rnacentral:siRNA from 1 species
GCCGUGAUCGUGGUCUGCA